rnacentral:rRNA from 1 species
UACGAAGGGGGCUAGCGUUGCUCGGAAUGACUGGGCGUAAAGGGCGCGUAGGCGGAUUGAUUAGUUAGGCGUGAAAUUCCUGGGCUUAACCUGGGGGCUGCGCUUAAUACAGUCAGUCUUGAGUGUGGAAGAGGGUCGUGGAAUUCCCAGUGUAGAGGUGAAAUUCGUAGAUAUUGGGAAGAACACCGGUGGCGAAGGCGGCGACCUGGUCCAUUACUGACGCUGAGGCGCGAAAGCGUGGGGAGCAAACAGGAUUAGAUACCCUGGUAGUCCACGCCGUAAACGAUGUGUGCUGGAUGUUGGGUGGCCUAGCCACUCAGUGUCGUAGCUAACGCGAUAAGCACACCGCCUGGGGAGUACGGCCGCAAGGUUGAA